rnacentral:rRNA from 1 species
GCGACCUUAAGCGAAUCCCAAAAAUAAACGUCCCAGUUCGGAUUGCAGUCUGCAACUCGAGUGCAUGAAGCUGGAAUCGCUAGUAAUCGCGAAUCAGAAUGUCGCGGUGAAUACGUUCCCGGGUCUUGUACACACCGCCCGUCACACCAUGGGAGUCGGAAAUGCCCGAAGUCAGUGACCCAACCGUAAGGAGGGAGCUGCCGAAGGUGGAGCCGGUAACUGGGGUGAAGUCGUAACAAGGUAUC